CAGUCGCCACGGUAAUACGUAGGUGGCAGGCGUUGUCCGGAAUUAUUGGGCGUAAAGGGCUCGCAGGCGGUUUCUUAAGUCUGAUGUGAAAGCCCCCGGCUCAACCGGGGAGGGUCAUUGGAAACUGGGAAACUUGAGUGCAGAAGAGGAGAGUGGAAUUCCACGUGUAGCGGUGAAAUGCGUAGAGAUGUGGAGGAACACCAGUGGCGAAGGCGACUCUCUGGUCUGUAACUGACGCUGAGGAGCGAAAGCGCGGGGAGCGAACAGGAUUAGAUACCCCAGUAGUCCCUGUCUCUUAUAA
rnacentral:rRNA from 1 species